CAGGCCUAACACAUGCAAGUCGAGCGGGGAAGGGUAGCUUGCUACCUGACCUAGCGGCGGACGGGUGAGUAAUGCUUAGGAAUCUGCCUAUUAGUGGGGGACAACAUUCCGAAAGGAAUGCUAAUACCGCAUACGCCCUACGGGGGAAAGCAGGGGAUCUUCGGACCUUGCGCUAAUAGAUGAGCCUAAGUCAGAUUAGCUAGUUGGUGGGGUAAAGGCCUACCAAGGCGACGAUCUGUAGCGGGUCUGAGAGGAUGAUCCGCCACACUGGGACUGAGACACGGCCCAGACUCCUACGGGAGGCAGCAGUGGGGAAUAUUGGACAAUGGGCGAAAGCCUGAUCCAGCCAUGCCGCGUGUGUGAAGAAGGCCUUUUGGUUGUAAAGCACUUUAAGCGAGGAGGAGGCUACUUGGAUUAAUACUCUAGGAUAGUGGACGUUACUCGCAGAAUAAGCACCGGCUAACUCUGUGCCAGCAGCCGCGGUAAU
rnacentral:rRNA from 1 species